rnacentral:rRNA from 1 species
GGUUAAGUGACUAAGCGUACACGGUGGAUGCCUUGGCAGUCAGAGGCGAUGAAAGACGUAGUAACUUGCGAUAAGCCCAGAUUAGGUAGUAACAACCAUUUGAGUCUGGGAUUUCUGAAUGGGGAAACCCACGUGCAUAAGCACGUAUCCUUACCUGAAUACAUAGGGUAAGGAGGCGAACCGGGGGAACUGAAACAUCUAAGUACCCCGAGGAAAAGAAAUCAACCGAGAUUCCGAAAGUAGCGGCGAGCGAAAUUGGACUAGCCCUUAAGCUUUACACGCGUU